ensembl:lncRNA
CAAAACCACUGUAAGAAAAUGGUCUCUGUACAAAGCUUACCGAGAUGAAGGUUUUCCAAUGGCAUGUCAGUUAACAUUCCCAAGAAGUGGUUUACCUGAGAUUAAUAAUGCAUUUGGAGGAGGUCUGUGAGAUAGCCUGCUGCUCCUGUCAAGUCUCCUGCCAGUCUCAGAAGGGAGGAGCAGCAGCACAGCUGUGCCAGGAUACCCAGGACUGCUUUUCUGCGCCUCGUCCUUUCAGCCCCAUUGGAUGCUCAGCAGGAGCCGCUCAGUUCACACACGCAGUGCGUUCUGCCUUCCAAGAGCUUUCCAUCAGGCGAGAGGCUCUCUUCUUUUUGCCUGUUUCAAAUGUACCGUUCCACGUGUCCUACAAGAAGUCUUCACGCACCUCUCCAGUUUAGGAGAAUGAGCAAUGCCUCCACUGGGGACUUCCCUGGCAGAUCCACGUCUGAACAGCCAGGGCUGGCUUCCAAGAACAUUAAAUUCCAGCUGCUUUUCCAUCCAAGGCAAGGUUAUGCAUAUUUGGUGCCUGGCUUAACGCUGCAAGGGACAUAAUUUUCAGUGGUAUAAUGGACCGCUUGAGCCUCUCUUGUCAACUGGGAGUUUGAGUAUGCAGCGCGUUUGGAAAUGCAGCCCAUCCUUACCCAGCAACUGGCAAGGGAGAAAUCCAGACCUGUCAGUCGCUAUUUCAGCCUGUGACUUCUGCUCGCCUUUGUCCCAUCCGAGCGCGGUAAGACAGAGCUUGUGUGCUCUUCUGGAGUUGGCUCCGCGUCUGCAGCUGCACGUUGAAAGGUACCGCAGUGUUUUCAGAAACCCAAAAGGUAGCCAGUCUCCAGCUGGUAAAAUUGUCAUCGUUCAUCGACUGAUUGAACUGCGGAAAUUUACCCAAGUAGAGGAUCAGGUCCAGUGUACACAGCUGGGAACCGAGCUGAGCUCAGUAGCUAUCUGUGCUCAGUGCUAAGCACCGGCCAACUGGGUUGCGCACGACUUUCUGCUAGGUAGCAGUGUGUCGAUCAAUGUCCUCUUGUUCGCUUGGAUCCAUGUUGUCUCCCAUUGCUCUGUCCCUUCUCUGUUCUCCUUUCCCUUCUAACUAAGCAACGUCUUACGGGCAGCGAGAGGGCGAGCCACAAUAGAUGAAAACAGAUCUGUUUUUGUGAUGUUUCUGGGGAAAACGUUCCUGCCCUUACACUUGAACUUCUCUAAGAGUGGUUAUAUUUCAUUACGCAUCUUAUCCUUGUUUGUGAAACAAGCAUGAGCUGUGCUUGCUAUGAGUUCAGUAGAGAAAAGAAAUGGAUAUUUGGGGAAGAUUGUUCCUCACUUGACAGCAUUAUUGUAAGCAAGGAAAUUUAAAGGAGGUUUUGCUUAGGCCCUCUAUUUUUCUCUGACUUUGUGUUCGUAUUUUUUUCCUUAAGUUUGUCUCAAGGUCUGCAUGAAGACCCAAACCUCUAAAAUGCUUUAAAGUCGGUCUCUCUCUGCCCGCGUGUAUUCAGCUAGCAUGGUAAAAUGUUUUGUUUCUCUUUUUUCUUUCCAGAGUCUAUGAGAUCAUUCAAGUACGGAGACUUGGCAGCCUCCAUGUACGUACAAAGACGGCUGUUUGAAUUUCAGACUAAGUGUCGUUCUGGCUAAGGAUGAAUUAUUUGGUGUGUUACAUGAGGAUUUGCUGCUUUAUCUGGCCUGAAUAAGAGCUCCACCAGUGCAGACCUCCCUCACGAAAGCCACGGUGAUGUCACGUCCAGCAGCACAGGAGGGGAUCAGAGCGUGCUCCUACCCAUUCAGCACAGCCCCGAGGAGAAACAUGAAAACCUUGAGCUGUGUGGGAAAUCGGACCCUCAGAUACAUUCGG